CUGAUGCUUGAUGAUGUGUCCGCUUCCAGCAGUUUAACUGCUGAAAUAAAUGUAAACAGUAUUGGAAGUUAGCAUGCAAGCAUAACUGAUACUGCAACAUAGAAGAAAUCUUCCUUUCGACGAGGUCCUCCGGCAUCAGAUGGACAAGAAUUCUCAAGGAAACUGGUUAAAAACCAUAAUUUAGGAAAACAAAAUUUAACAAUGUUGAUAUUGCCUGUGAUAUUAAAAUAAAAUGUUUUCAUAUACUUA